AUUUUAGCCACGCCGUUUGAUUUGACCUAAAAUUUAUACUGAAGUAGAUACGCCCGCAGCUAAUCAAACCCUCAUUCGCGCCACAAGCUUUAACUGCGUCGUGGCGAUACGCACCGUUCUCGACCUGUAUAUAAUCAUAAAUGCCCCUUCUCCCUCUCUCAUUUUCUAACAGGAGACUCCCUCUCUCCGACACUCGAACUCUUUUUGCAUUUCUACAGCUCGCUUCGCUUUCGAUUUUCAGUCAUGACCGACGGCCACCUCUUCAACAAUAUCUCUCUCGGAGGCCGUGGAGGCACUAAUCCAGGGCAGCUUAAGAUAUAUUCAGGAGGGAUUUUAUGGAAGAAACAAGGAGGCGGUAAGGCAAUUGAGGUUGAUAAAGCUGACAUCAUGGGGGUGACAUGGAUGAAGGUCCCAAGGACAAAUCAACUUGGUGUCCGAAUCAAAGACGGAUUAUUCUAUAAGUUCACUGGGUUCCGAGACCAGGAUGUCACUAGUUUGACCAAUUUUUUUGAAAACACUUGUGGUAUAACACCAGAGGAGAAGCAACUUUCUGUCAGUGGGCGUAAUUGGGGAGAAGUUGAUUUAAACGGUAAUACACUGAGUUUUUUGGUUGGUUCAAAGCAAGCAUUUGAGGUAUCUCUGGCUGAUGUCUCGCAAACUCAGCUUCAAGGGAAAAAUGAUGUAAUCUUAGAAUUCCAUGUGGAUGAUACAACUGGAGCUAACGAGAAAGAUUCAUUGAUGGAGAUAAGUUUUCACAUACCUAAUUCCAACACCCAAUUUGUUGGUGAUGAGAAUCGUCCUCCUGCUCAGGUUUUCCGUGAAAAAAUCAUGUCAAUGGCAGAUGUUGGUGCUGGAGGUGAAGAAGCUGUGGUUACCUUUGAGGGCAUUGCAAUCCUCACGCCAAGGGGGCGAUACAAUGUUGAACUUCAUCUGUCAUUCUUACGACUUCAAGGACAGGCUAAUGAUUUCAAGAUUCAAUACAGCAGUGUUGUUCGUCUGUUUUUGCUUCCUAAGUCUAACCAGCCACAUACAUUUGUUGUUGUUACCCUUGAUCCACCAAUCCGUAAAGGGCAAACUUUGUACCCACAUAUAGUGUUGCAGUUUGAAACUGACUAUGUAGUGGAUAACGCCCUGUCAAUAAGUGAAGAUCUUUUGAACACCAAAUAUAAAGACAAGUUAGAACCAUCUUAUAAGGGACUCAUUCAUGAAGUGUUCACCACAAUAUUGCGUGGCUUGUCUGGUUCCAAAGUUACUAAACCAGGAAAAUUCCGUAGCUGUCAAGAUGGUUAUGCGGUGAAGUCAUCAUUGAAGGCUGAAGAUGGAGUCCUGUAUCCACUUGAAAAGAGUUUCUUCUUUCUACCGAAACCUCCUACACUUAUUCUUCAUGAAGAGAUCGAGUAUGUGGAAUUCGAGAGGCAUGCUGCUGGUGGCUCAAAUAUGCAUUACUUUGAUCUUCUUAUAAGACUGAAAACCGAGCAAGAACAUCUUUUUCGUAACAUCCAGAGGAACGAAUACCAUAAUCUUUUUGACUUCAUCAGUGGGAAGGGCUUGAAAAUUAUGAACCUGGGAGGUUUCCAAACUACAGAUGGCGUAGCACGUGUUCUUCAGGAUGAAGAAGAUGAUGCUGUUGAUCCACAUCUGGAGCGCAUUAAGAAUCUAGCUGGUGGAGAUGAGAGUGAUGAAGAGGAUGAAGAUUUUGUUAUUGACAAAGAUGAUGGUGGUUCUCCAACUGAUGAUUCUGGAGAGGAGGAAUCUGAUGCUAGCGAAAGUGGAGAUGAGAAAGAGAAGCCUGGGAAAAAGGAAUCCAGAAAAGAGACUUCGUCUUCCAAGGCAACUUCUUCUAAGAAGAAAUCUAGAGAUGGAGAUGAAGAUGCUUCAAAGAAGAAAAAACAGAAAAAGAAGAAGGAUCCAAAUGCACCAAAGAGGGCAAUGUCUGGUUUCAUGUUUUUCUCACAAAUGGAAAGAGAGAAUGUCAAGAAAAGCAACCCUGGUAUUGUGUUUACGGAUGUGGGGAGAGUACUUGGAGAUAAGUGGAAAAAGAUGACAGCGGAGGAGAAAGAACCAUAUGAAGCAAAGGCUCGUCAAGACCAAAAACGUUACAGGGAGGAAAUUAGUGGCUACAAGAACCAGCAACCGAUGAAUAUAGAUUCUGGGAAUGAAUCUGACAGCUCAUAGAUUGGAUGGUGGAUGUUAUCCUCAGUUUUUGUUCAAAUGUUAUAUCAGUCAGCUCAUCUGUAAUGUUAGUGCAGGAUAUUUUUCACAUCCUUGACUAUGUAUCUAUGCCAUAUCCGGUCAGAAGGUUUUUAUCCCCCCUUUACCUUGAUUGGCUAAACGGGUAAUGAACUCCACUUGCAGUAGUUACCUUGGGAAUAGACCGAUAAAAAAAAAAGUUAUCUUGGGAAUAGAAGUUCUAGAUACUUCAAACAUGUCACUGUACUGCGCGCACGAAUAUAAAAGUUUUCGGUCGUAACCUCGUAAGCACUCUGCUUCUUGGGUUUUACAUUAUGCAUGUUCAAGAGGCUGUCAAGGCAGAACGACCAUGGUCGCAUCUAAUCCUACUAGAUAUGCAGAGAGCAGCAACGAUUAGACACAGAAUUAGAUGGUGCUGUGGCACCUCCAAAAUAUGUAUUUGCAGAAGCAGCUCAGCCACACCAAGCUGCAUCUGGUAUUUAUGAACCUUCUUUUCGCUGUUGUACAUUUGAAGGGAAAAGUGCCAGUUGAUCCUAUUCCACAGUCACCUAGUUUCUUUCUUAACUGGAGAUGCUAUAUGCAAAAAAUUAAGGCAUGAAUCUUUCAGUUAGGCUUUUGGCGCAAGGGAAACUGGCGAGGAAGAAAAAAUUGGAGCAUGUCCUACAAGACUGCUAGGUUCUUGUCUCCAAAUUGCCAUCUCUGAGCUGUGUGCCACUUUAUCGUAAAAAGAAUCAGAUUCCUGUUGGUCUUA